rnacentral:lncRNA from 1 species
GCGUAUAAGCGACUUUCCGAGCACCUUCUUUUAAAAGAUGGUAGACACAGUUGAAAACGCACAUCUCCUAGACGACUAAAGAGCUCCCGGGGAAAGCAAUGUCUUUUCGCGCCGAAUUCCACCUACCACAUCCCCCGGAAUGUCCCACGCGCAACGCCCUCUGCGUGCGCCGGCGCCCUAUGAAGAUCCGGUGCAGCUAAAGUCAGUGGAAGGCAAUUGAGAACUUUAUCCUGCUCCCUACUUCUGUAAUUUCCACUCCACCUCCUAGGGCAGACCAAUGGGGCAGUCAACAUACAGGUGAUGUACCUGACCCCUAAGCACACAGUGGGUGGAGCUUUUUCUUGUUUCAGAGGGGUCCAGCAGUCAGGAUGUAGUCUGUCUACAUCAUCUGGAAUUUCCCAACCCCCAGCACCAAACCACAUUUACAAGAGUUAGAAGCACCAUGGCCAAGGCCACAGUGGCCUGGAGCUCAAGGCACAGGACAGAGUGGCAGAGUUGAGGUUGUAGGACCCAGCAGACUCACAGGGUUGACUUGGGAAGGCUCGAUGUCCCAGCAGUACAGGCAUAUGCCGUGGAGCCUUAGGGCGCCCCCUGACGCCUACUGCCUGUCCUGGACCAAACGAUUAUGGGGCCCCACACUCACAGCCUUCAAGCCCUGCCCCACCCAGUUCCAUCACUAUUCUCUUUAUUCUUCUCCCUGCUAUGGGCCCCACCCUUUCCCCAGUUGUAUUCCAGUCCAGUGCAGGGAAGGCAAGGCCUCAAGUUGUCUGCAGUGUCUUUGAGUUAUGGAAACAGCUUCUAGUUGGGUUGACCCAACUGUCUGCCUUCUUCCCAUCUAUCUAUACCAGGCACUUCCAGUAGAAGUGGGACAAUCCGUGCUUCACACUCUGAUGCUGGUGAAAAGAUGAAACACUGAAUUAGGAGAUCUGGGAAACUGCAGACACACUUUCUGACAUGUUCAAAUCAGGUCAUUCCACGUAUGCAUUUCAGAAGGGAUUCAUGGCACUAGCUUCACAAUUUCUCCCUUGGACAACCACAAGAGGCAUCCUUAAAACUCUGAGAGAAAACUUAAUACAAUUCAUACAAAGAAAGAAAACCCAGCCUCCUCACCCCUCGACCUUCCUCACCCCUCAACAAAACCAAUGUUUUGUUGUUUC